rnacentral:rRNA from 1 species
UACAGAGGUGGCAAGCGUUGUUCGGAAUUACUGGGCGUAAAGGGCGCGUAGGCGGCCUUCUAAGUCGAACGUGAAAUCCCUGGGCUCAACCCAGGAACUGCGUCCGAUACUGGAAGGCUUGAAUCCGGGAGAGGGAUGCGGAAUUCCAGGUGUAGCGGUGAAAUGCGUAGAUAUCUGGAGGAACACCGGUGGCGAAGGCGGCAUCCUGGACCGGCAUUGACGCUGAGGCGCGAAAGCCAGGGGAGCAAACGGG